GUGCCUGAUGCUCUACCCGCCCCUGAUCACGGGACAGUGGCCCCUGACCGGCCUGGUGGGGGACACCUCUGUCUCCCCUGCACCCGCAGUACUGCACUCUAACCAGUAGAAAUUUUCCUGUCAAAAACUACCAGAACCAAGAGAACAAAGGGGGAUGCCUUGCCCGCUCCGGGCUGUUCACGCCGCGGGGUGAACUUCAACGUAGAAUGGUUUAAGUGAGGCAGAAUCACCACAGGACAAGGAUAUAUUGAGUUUUGGGAAGAUCUACUGCAUAAGAAAUGGUCUCCAUAUCUUAAAGGUCUUCGACAAACAUCCCCAGGUCUGCACUGCUUUAGCUGACUACUGAUGAGCUCUUUGUAGCUGCAAGUUCUCUACUGCCAAGGCUGUGCUCCUUUUUUUAUCAUCCCAUGCCUCUUCUACAGUGUCCUGGGAGACCACUCUCCGGGGACUCUGCUGUCAUACCAGGCCUGUAUUCCGCUAUAUAUUAUUAUGUUAUGCAUCAUUAUGUUAGUUAUAAAAGAUGUUAUACAUCAUUAUGUUAGUUAUAAAUAUCUCAUUCUCCACAGUAGAACUUCUUGUCACUCUCCAUAUAAAAGCCACAGUGGUGCCAUACAAAGUUAAACAAAAGUAAAACAGUUAGACAUAGCUACCUACCCAUUAGAGACAUUGGUGUUGCAACUAAGUAAAAGAAAGCCACAGACAGGUCAAUAAAAGCUCAGGCAAAAUGAGGCUCAGUCCCAAGGCCUUGCAAAGCCAGUACAAAGCCUGUGGCCUCCUGCCAGCAGUGGUGGUAUCAGGCUACAGGAUGAGAGUAAUUGCACGCAAGUUCUGCUUGUCUAACUCUUCUUGUCUUAAAAAAAAAUAAAAGAAAAACAACAUAA